rnacentral:rRNA from 1 species
CCGGUUUGGCACCUCGAUGUCGGCUCAUCGCAUCCUGGGGCUGGAGAAGGUCCCAAGGGUCCGGCUGUUCGCCGGUUAAAGCGGUACGCGAGCUGGGUUCAGAACGUCGUGAGACAGUUCGGUCCUUAUCCACUGUGGGCGUAGGAAACUUGCGGGGUUCAUUCUCUAGUACGAGAGGACCGAGAAUGACGCACUUCUGGUGUGGCAGUUGUUCCGUCAGGGGCAGCGCUGCGUAGCCAUGUGCGGAAGAGAUAAGCGCUGAAAGCAUCUAAGUGCCAAGCUCAUCCCAAGAUACGGUUUCCCGGACGUAAGUCCCUAAAGACCCCCGGCAGACCACCGGGUUGAUAGGUCAGGCGUGUAAGUCCAGUAAUGGACUCAGCGGACUGAUACUAAUCGGUCGUGAGGCUUGAUCGU